rnacentral:sRNA from 15 species
UAUUCUGCCCCACGGGGAAGGAUGAGAAGCUUCGACUAAGGUUCGACUCGAGCGAAGCGAGAGAACGUUGCCGCAGGCAACGGCCCGAAGGGCGAGGCGCUUUAGCGCCGAGUAAUCCUUCCCCCACCACUG